GACGAACGCUGGCGGCGUGCUUAACACAUGCAAGUCGAGCGGAGCGGCGAACGGGUGAGUAACGCGUGAGUAACUGCCCCCCUCUCUGGGAUAACAGUUGGAAACGGCUGCUAAUACCGGAUAGUGGGGGAUGACUCGCGGCCUAUCCGCUUUUGGGUGGGGUAGUGGCCUACCAAGGCGACGACGGGUAGCCGGCCUGAGAGGGCGACCGGCCACAUUGGGAUGAGAUACCGGCCAAUCUCCUACGGGAGGCAGCAGUGGGGAAUAGUGCGAAAUGGGGGAGACCCUGAUGCAGAAAGGACGCGUGCGGGAUGACGGCCUUCGGGGUGUAAACGGCUUUAAGCCAUGACGCGGUAGUGGCAGAAGACGAACCGGCUAACUACGUGCCAGCAGCCGCGGUAAUUC
rnacentral:rRNA from 1 species